rnacentral:rRNA from 1 species
UACGGAGGGUGCAAGCGUUAUCCGGAUUCACUGGGUUUAAAGGGUGCGUAGGUGGGUCUGUAAGUCAGUGGGGAAAUCUCCGUGCUUAACAUGGAAACUGCCAUUGAUACUAUAGGUCUUGAAUUUUCUGGAGGUAAGCGGAAUAUGUCAUGUAGCGGUGAAAUGCUUAGAUAUGACAUAGAAUACCUAUUGCGAAGGCAGCUUACUACGCAGAUAUUGACGCUCAUGCACGAAAGCGUGGGGAUCAAACAGG